rnacentral:rRNA from 1 species
CGUACACUCCUGCGGGAGGCAGCAGUGGGGAAUUUUGGACAAUGGGCGAAAGCCUGAUCCAGCCAUGCCGCGUGCAGGAUGAAGGCCUUCGGGUUGUAAACUGCUUUUGUACGGAACGAAACGGCCUUUUCUAAUAAAGAGGGCUAAUGACGGUACCGUAAGAAUAAGCACCGGCUAACUACGUGCCAGCAGCCGCGGUAAUACGUAGGGUGCAAGCGUUAAUCGGAAUUACUGGGCGUAAAGCGUGCGCAGGCGGUUAUGUAAGACAGUUGUGAAAUCCCCGGGCUCAACCUGGGAACUGCAUCUGUGACUGCAUAGCUAGAGUACGGUAGAGGGGGAUGGAAUUCCGCGUGUAGCGGUGAAAUGCGUAGAUAUGCGGAGGAACACCGAUGGCGAAGGCAAUCCCCUGGACCUGUACUGACGCUCAUGCACGAAAGCGUGGGGAGCAAACAGGAUUAGAAACCCUGGUAGUCCCA